CCUCAACCCCCCCAAAAUCUCCCUUCUCCCUAGUUGGCAUCAUCCUUCUUCAUUAUUCUGUGCAGUCCCCUUCUUCUUCUUCUUCUUCUGUGCGGUCAUCUUCUUCUGUUCAGUUUAACAGAGAGAAGGGGGAAGGCAUGGCUCAUCGAUGAAAAGCAUCAUGUGUAGAAUUAGCAUCGAAGAAAAAGCCAAUGCCAAAAAGCAUCUCCUUCGCACUUGGCAGGGAAUGUUUGUGCAAUUCUUUCUUCAGGGAAUGCUUGGUUGCUAUACACAAAUAAAAGUUGGUCAUGGAUCAAGUAUUCAAGGGCUUGAGACAACUGCAACUUUUGACCAAAUAUUACUUUUGAAAGCUGUAUUUUUUUUUUGUUAUUUGGCAUUGUAUUUGUACA